rnacentral:tRNA from 1 species
GCCGUGGCGUAUUGGAUAUGGUGUCCGCCUAGCGACCGGAAGAUCAUGGAUUCGAUUCCCAUGAUGGUG